GUGAUCAUACCAACACUAAUGCACCAGAUCCCAUCAGAACUCUGAAGUUAAGCGUGCUUGGGCGAGAGCAGUACUAGGAUGAGUGACCCCCUGGGAAGUCCUCGUGUUGCACCU
rnacentral:rRNA from 1 species